CCUACGGGUGGCAGCAGUGAGGAAUAUUGGUCAAUGGACGAGAGUCUGAACCAGCCAAGUAGCGUGAAGGAUGACUGCCCUAUGGGUUGUACACUUCUUUUAUAUGGGAAUAAAACAGGGUAUGCAUACCCUCUUGUAUGUACCAUAUGAAUAAGGAUCGGAUAACUCCGUGCCAGCAGCCGCGGUAAUACGGAGGAUCCGAGCGUUAUCCGGGUGUAUUGGGUUUAAAGGGAGCGUAUGUGGAUUGUUAAAUGAGUUGUGAAAGUUUGCGGGUCAACCGUAAAAUUGCAGUUGAAACUGGCAGUCUCGAGUACAGUAGAGGUGGGCGGAAGUCGUGGUGUAGCGGUGAAAUGCUUAGAUAUCACGAAGAACUCCGAUUGCGAAGGCAGCUCACUGGACUGCAACUGACACUGAUGCUCGAAAGUGUGGGUAUCAAACAGGAUUAGAUACCCGUGUAGUC
rnacentral:rRNA from 1 species